UGAGGAAUAUUGGACAAUGGGUGAGAGCCUGAUCCAGCCAUCCCGCGUGCAGGAAGACGGCCUUAUGGGUUGUAAACUGCUUUUGUAUAGGAAUAAACCACCUUACGAGUAGGGUGUUGAAGGUACUAUACGAAUAAGCACCGGCUAACUCCGUGCCAGCAGCCGCGGUAAUACGGAGGGUGCGAGCGUUAUCCGGAUUUAUUGGGUUUAAAGGGUCCGCAGGCGGAUUUGUAAGUCAGGGGUGAAAUCCGGCAGCUUAACUGUCGAAUUGCCUUUGAUACUGCAGAUCUUGAGUGAGGUUGAAGUAGCUGGAAUGUGUAGUGUAGCGGUGAAAUGCAUAGAUAUUACACAGAACACCAAUUGCGUAGGCAGGUUACUAAGUCUCAACUGACGCUGAGGG
rnacentral:rRNA from 1 species